AUUGAACGCUGGCGGCAUGCCUUACACAUGCAAGUCGAACGGUAACGAGCCUUCGGGUGCCGACGAGUGGCGAACGGGUGAGUAAUACAUCGGAACGUGCCCGAUCGUGGGGGAUAACGAGGCGAAAGCUUUGCUAAUACCGCAUACGAUCUACGGAUGAAAGCAGGGGACCGCAAGGCCUUGCGCGGACGGAGCGGCCGAUGGCAGAUUAGGUAGUUGGUGGGAUGAAAGCUUACCAAGCCGACGAUCUGUAGCUGGUCUGAGAGGAUGAUCAGCCACACUGGGACUGAGACACGGCCCAGACUCCUACGGGAGGCAGCAGUGGGGAAUUUUGGACAAUGGGCGCAAGCCUGAUCCAGCCAUGCCGCGUGCAGGAUGAAGGCCUUCGGGUUGUAAACUGCUUUUGUACGGAACGAAAAGCCUUCUUUUAAUACAGGAGGGUCAUGACGGUACCGUAAGAAUAAGCACCGGCUAACUACGU
rnacentral:rRNA from 1 species